AUACGUAGGUGACAAGCGUUAUCCGGAUUUACUGGGCGUAAAGGGCGUGUAGGCGGUCUUGCAAGUCAGAAGUGAAAUUCCUGAGCUCAACUCGGGCGCUGCUUCUGAAACUGCAGGACUUGAGUGCUGGAGGGGAUAGCGGAAUUCCUAGUGGAGCGGUAAAAUGCGCAGAUAUUAGGAAGAACACCGGUGGCGGAGGCGGCUAUCUGGACAGUAACUGACGCUGAGGCGCGAAAGCGUGGGGAGCAAACAGGAUUAGAUUCCCUGGUAGUCCACGCCAUAAACGAUGAAUACUAGGUGUAGGGGGUAUCGACCCCCUCUGUGCCGACGUUAACACAUUAAGUAUUCCACCUGGGGAGUACGGCCGCAAGGCUGAAACUCAAAGGAAUUGACGGGG
rnacentral:rRNA from 1 species